GCACUCUGUGUGGGGAACAUGAGAGCCAGACCAAAGCUCAGAGGAACCAGCCUGGACCUCCACCCAGCUCUGUGUCCUUACAGAGUGACUGGUCUGCUGGACGCUUCACUCUUUUUAAGGGAUACAAACUGUCUGCUGCAGAGAGGAUCUAUGGGAGACCUGCUGGACCUGUACCCAGCUCUGUGUCCUUAAAGAGUGACGCGUCUAAAGAUGACUUCACUGAUUUUAAAGUCCAGCCUGUGUCUGCUGCAGAGAGGUGAGCUGUUAGUAACACAACUCUUUGAUUGGAACUCUUUGAUUUAACUGCUUGAUGUUGUUGGAUAUAAAUGGCAGUACAAACACGUCAUUCCCUCAAUCCCAUUUAUACUGUCUAUUAAAAACUAGCCUGUGGUUUGUAAACAGCUGAAAAUCCACUUCCGCAAACAGGUAGUGAUGCUC